rnacentral:rRNA from 1 species
GUAAGGAAUAUUGGACAAUGCCCGCAAGGGUGAUCCAGCCAUGCCGCGUGCAGGAAGACGGCCCUAUGGGUUGUAAACUGCUUUUAUACAAGAGAAAACCCCCUUACGUGUAAGGGGCUGAUAGUAUUGUAAGAAUAAGCAUCGGCUAACUUCGUGCCAGCAGCCGCGGUAAGACGAAGGAUGCAAGCGUUAUCCGGAUUCAUUGGGUUUAAAGGGAGCGUAGGUGGCCUUAUAAGUCAGUGGUGAAAGCCUGUUGCUUAACAACAGAAUUGCCAUUGAUACUGUAGGGCUUGAGUAUAGUUGCUGUGGGCGGAAUAUGACAUGUAGUGGUGAAAUACUUAGAGAUGUCAUAGAACACCGAUUGCGAAGGCAGCUCACAAAACUAUAACUGACACUGAGGCUCGAAAGUGCGGGGAUCAAACAGGAUUAGAAACCCUAGUAGUCC